rnacentral:tRNA from 1 species
GCCUACAUAGCUCAGUUGGUAGAGCGCAUCCUUGGUAAGGAUGAGGUCAUCGGUUCAAAUCCGAUUGUAGGCUCCA